rnacentral:ncRNA from 1 species
AAGACAUAAAGUCAAUUAUCACCCUCCGAUUGCUUAUUGCAACCGCCCACACUUCAGUGGCGGUUU